rnacentral:rRNA from 1 species
CGUCUAUAUACGUAUAGCAUAUCAAUAAGCGGAGGAAAAGAAACUAACAAGGAUUCCCUUAGUAACGGCGAGUGAAGCGGGAAGAGCUCAAAUUUGAAAUCUUCAAGGUUUUACCUUGACGAAUUGUGGUUUAAAGAAGUGUUUUCUGUUGAAGUUUUGGUAAAAGUUCUUUGGAAUAGGACAUCAUAGAGGGUGAGAAUCCCGUAUUUGACCAUUAUUUUCAGCUGUGUGAUACACUUUCAAAGAGUCGGAUUGUUUGGGAAUGCAGUCCAAAAUGGGUGGUAAAUUUCAUCUAAAGCUAAAUACUGGCGAGAGACCGAUAGCGAACAAGUACCGUGAGGGAAAGAUGAAAAGAACUUUGAAAAGAGAGUUAAACAGUACGUGAAAUUGUCAAAAGGGAAGCGUUUGACACCAGUGUUGUUUUUCCGAAAAUCAAUUAAGAAUGGCCGGAUUUUAAGUUUCAUGACCUUAAAAGCUUGUUUCUUAUUUUUCUUGUCUUUCUUAAUGCACUUUUCGGUUAACAAGUCAACAUCAAUUUCUUUUGUUGUAAAAGGUUAAGAGGAAGGUGGCUUUACUUUCGGGUAAAGUGUUUAUAGCCUUUUAACUCUGCAAUCGGAGAGAUUGAGGUCUGCAGCGUAGAUCCUUCGGGGCUAGAUACGUUUGUGCUAAGUUAUAGCUUUUCAUAGACAACUUGUUGACUAUGUUUAGUCUUGUAGCUUACUCGCUGAUGCUAUUUUACCUACGCUUAGGAUGUUGAUAUGCAUGACUGAUAU